UCCGUUGUCGUCCAGCGGUUAGGAUAUAUGGCUUAGACCCGGGUUCAAUUCCCGGCAACUGAA
rnacentral:tRNA from 1 species